GCUCCGGUGGCAUAAUGCUUAGUGCGUCCCCCUCGGAUGCGGGAGGUCGUCGGUUCGAACCCCGGCUGAGUCA